rnacentral:SRP_RNA from 1 species
GCUGGGCGUGGUGGCACGUGCCUGUAGUCCCAGCUACUCAGGAGGCUGAGGCAGGAGAAUCACUUGAACCCAGGAGGCAGAGGCUGCAGUGAGCUGACAUCACGCCACUGCACUCCAGCCUGGGUGACAGAGUGAGACUCUGUCUCAA